UGGGGAAGUAUUGGACAAUGGGCGAAAGCCUGAUCCAGCAAUGCCGCGUGUGUGAAGAAGGUCUUCGGAUUGUAAAGCACUUUCGACGGGGACGAUGAUGACGGUACCCGUAGAAGAAGCCCCGGCUAACUUCGUGCCGG
rnacentral:rRNA from 1 species